rnacentral:piRNA from 1 species
UGCCCUCGUCAGCAGUACCCGAUCCUGGACU